rnacentral:lncRNA from 1 species
AUGAAUACCCCAAAAUAUUGAAGACAACACAAUCUUUCAACGAAUACCUUUCUAAUAUCCGAUUCCACAAUUGAUCGCAGACUGAAACCCUAAAUGUCGUCCACAUGAAUACCCCAAAAUAUUGAAGGCAACACAAUCUUCCAAGGAGUACCUUUCUAAUAUCUGAUCCCACAAUUGAUCGCAGCAUUCCAGGUUUUGAUAGCUCCAAACGAUUCAAGGUUGCUCGAAUGAGAUUGACUAUUUAAUUCCUUUUAUGUUCCCAUGGCUUACAUCUGGCAUUUAUGUGAAUUAAAUUCACAAGAAUCACAUUCAACAUGGAUGACAUGAUCGCUGAGUUUUCGGGUCGGCGGAGACGGUCCAAGUGUCAGAACAACGGGCUUUUCGAGCAAUAUGUUUGGCGAUAAUGUGGGUAGAUUUGAUAAUAUCUUCAGCUCUUUUGGUGGUGGCAGUGGUAGAUCGUAUGGCAGCGGUGGUGGAGUUAGGUCGGGUACUCGAAAGCUGCCCGAUCUCGAGAGAAAUCUACCAUACCAUGAUAAAGCACCAUUUAACCACUCUGUUGUUGUCCGAAUAUUUUUUGGUUGUUUGCACAUAAAGGCAGCCAUAAUCAAAGAAGUUAACCCACUUAUUCUUGUAUUAGUGUUGUGUGUUUUCCUCUAAUUCGAUGGUGAUGAAUGAUGUUUGUCAAACUGCACUUUAUGUGGCAAGAGACGAUGGAUAUAGUAAUGUUGUCCAUGCAAUUGAGGUACACAUGUAGUUUAUUUCACACAUGACUUUGAUGGAUACAUUUUUUUCUCAUUUU